rnacentral:rRNA from 1 species
AAUAGAUACCCCGGUAGUCCACGCCGUAAACGAUGAGUGCUAAGUGUUGGGGGGUUUCCGCCCCUCAGUGCUGCAGCUAACGCAUUAAGCACUCCGCCUGGGGAGUACGGUCGCAAGACUGAAACUCAAAGGAAUUGACGGGGGGCCCGCACAAGCGGUGGAGCAUGUGGUUUAAUUCGAAGCAACGCGAAGAACCUUACCAGGUCUUGACAUCCCGGUGACCACUAUGGAGACAUAGUUUCCCCUUCGGGGGCAACGGUGACAGGUGGUGCAUGGUUGUCGUCAGCUCGUGUCGUGAGAUGUUGGGUUAAGUCCCGCAACGAGCGCAACCCUUAUUCUUAGUUGCCAUCAUUCAGUUGGGCACUCUAAGGAGACUGCCGGUGAUAAACCGGAGGAAGGUGGGGAUGACGUCAAAUCAUCAUGCCCCUUAUGACCUGGGCUACACACGUGCUACAAUGGACGGUACAAACGGUUGCCAACCCGCGAGGGGGAGCCAAUCCGAUAAAACCGUUCUCAGUUCGGAUUGUAGGCUGCAACUCGCCUACA